GUUUUCUUACCAUUUGCCUAUUGUGAAAACUAUGUCGCGGGUGAAAAUGUAUUUUUUGAUCACGGGUUGCAGGUUUUUGGACUACUAAGUUCCACUGUGGCCGGCAUGGCAUUUCUCUUUUAUAUAUAUUUCACUGACCUGCUGCUGCUAUCAGGCAGUGAGGCCGGCUGUUGCUGAGUGAGUGGUGUGGAGGGCCGGAGAGGUGUGUGUUGAGAGUGCACUGCAGCAUAGUCCACUAUUGGCUGACUCACAUGAGUGAGAGGAGACCGAGCAGCACAAGCUGUGAACUUUUUACCAGUUGUAGAAUCUGCAAUGAUGUCACUGUCGGGGAUCAUCUCCUUUUCCCCAGGCCAUGGCACAGAUCCUGUGCAUCAGCCUCCAUUGUAGACAUCCGGCAGAGUGUGUAGGCUCUCUGACUCCCCUGUAUAUUAAUAGCUAUGGAGAAGAAGCCACGGGCCACGCGAUUGGCUCCCACGUCACCCAACUCCACACUUGUUCAGCCAAUGAGGAAAGAGCUCCUUCACUGAGCCUGCUCUGUAAGCCUCGGUGCUGUGGGUUGCAGUGCUCACCAUUCCUGCACCUCAUGACUUCCGUCUGCUAACCGGUGGUCGUCUGAAACCGAACUCAUGGGAAAGCUGCUUGUUAGGCUAUAAGGAUAACAUAGGCUAUAAUUAGGACAAUGUAUAUACAUGUGCAAUGUGUAAAAGGGAAGGUGAUCGUUGUAGGGAAUAAGGAGAUCUAGUUGUGAUUCAUUUCUCUACUCAUCCCCCUUUAUGAGGUGUCUCUUUAUCCAAGACCCACAUGAUACUUGCUGACAGACAAAUAUAAAUGACUUAAUUUAUUCUCCUUUUCCACAUGGCUGUUUUAGUAUCACAACACUUCCCUAGAUCAAUGAAUGAUUUACUCAUCUCCACUGCUUGUCUUUGUUUUCACACUUGCAGUUUGCACUCAUACAAUCAUAUUCCUUUGACAUGGUGAGUCAUUCAUCUUCUUAUGUUUGAAGGCGUUUGUCUUAUUUUAGAUUUCCAAUCUUUUAACCGCUGAGGAAUAUGUUCCUUGUGUUCUUAUUGGUACAUAGAAUGUCACUAAUCACUGAGUGAGAUAGAUAGGCUAGGCUAUGCACAUCCAAAAGUCCAGUAUCAGUACUGGACCAAUGAGAAAGCUUGCACCAUUGUUGUCUUAUGGCACAGCACAUGAAAGAACUUAUUUUCUUUAUUCCUGUCUUUUUUUUUUGUGACUUAAGUUUCUAUUUAUUUUCCACCCUUACCCACUCACCUAAGGUCGCUUGUCGUAACCCCUCCCCCGCCUCCCAUUUUCUAUCCCCUCAGAUCCGAAAACCCCUUUUUCAUCAAUUAUCGUAUUACAGCUGUUUAGUUAAACACUGGACACUGACAGACACAACAAGCCCUCCUGCCGCCCCCAACCCAUCCAAUCAUUUCCCCUGUAAUCCCAGUAGUAAUCUGAUUUCACCGUACCCUGUUGCUUAGCCCUUUGUUCACUUGUCAUUAGACUGGCACAUAAAGGGAUCGUGUCGAGUCGUGUGCUACUGCGACUAGUUUUAGAUUUAGGCUAUUUUCUCCCAACACUAUGUCAUUUUUAUUAGCUACGAAAGAGAAACUGACACCAUAUCGUUUUCGGAGAAUCUUAUUUUUCAAAUUUCAGUCUAAAGAUCAGUUCAUCAAUUUAUUUCAACAUUAGAUUCUGCUGGGUCUUGUUGUUAAGUACAUUGUCAUAGCGAACAGCGAGCUCCUUCCUUUCAAAUCAUGUCCUACUUAAUCAAGGCGCAUUAGAUUAUGUACCUGUCUUUCGGCCAUUAGAAGCCUCAGACACGUAAUCUAGUAUGACCGAGAAGCAGGCCACAGUGACCUGACCAUACUGCUUUCUUCAGGUUACUAGUGUGGUUCUUAGAUUGCAGUAGUAAGAGCAUAUGGACUUUGGAAUGUAAACAUGCAUUGUCUGUCUGUCGUGUUUGUUGUGUCCGUUACUCUGCUCCAACCGUCCUGACAUCUGCUGUAUGCAAAACUUUUGGUGGAGGAGCGGGUGAGACAAAGCUGGCUGUAAAUAAACACAGACUGUUUGCUCUCUCUAAUUCUCUCUUUCUUUCUCUCUCUCGGAGGACCUGAGCCCUAGGACCAUGUCCCAGGACUACCUGACAUGAUGACUCCUUGCUGUCCCCAGUCCAUCUGACCGUGCUGCUGCUCCAGUUUCAACUGUUCUGCCUUAUUAUUAUACGACCAUGCUGGUCAUUUAUGAACAUUUGAACAUCUUGGCCAUGUUCUGUUAUAAUCUCCACCCGGCACAGCCAGAAGAGGACUGGCCACCCCACAUAGCCUGGUUCCUCUCUAGGUUUCUUCCUAGGUUUUGGCCUUUCUAGGGAGUUUUUCCUAGCCACCGUGCUUCUACACCUGCAUUGCUUGCUGUUUGGGGUUUUAGGCUGGGUUUCUGUACAGCACUUUGAGAUAUCAGCUGAUGUACGAAGGGCUAUAUAAAUAAAUGUGAUUUGAUUUGGAAGAAAAUACAAAUGUAAACAAAAACAUAGGCUGUUUGGUUUUGGCAUCAUCGCAGGAAGAGUAAACGCUCAGGUUCAAUACGAAGCAGGUUUAGAUUCAGACAAUCUAUAUUGUUCCGUUGCUGGACAACGUGGCCGCAGCCCUAUAAAACACCUUCGUCAGCAGAUUCACAUAAAGAGAUAUGUGUCUCUUGACCUUCCCCACUGUGUAUCAUUGUAACACUACACUGAGUGGACAAAACAUUAAGAAUACCUGCUCCUUCCAUGACAUAGACUGACCAGGAGGAAGC
ensembl:lncRNA